GGAUGUGAGGGCGAUCUGGCUGCGACAUCUGUCACCCCACUGAUCGCCAGGGUUGAUUCGGCUGAUCUGGCUGGCUAGGCGGGUGUCCCCUUCCUCAACGAUCCAUGUGCGUCCCUCCCGAAGCUGCGCGCUCGGUCGAAGAGGAUGACUACCCCAGAUAGAGGAGAACCGUUUCUCAGUCAAGGGUGUACGAGUAGCUGCGCUCCCCUGCUGGAACCUCCAAACAAGCUCUCAGGAGGCGUCUCAUUGCUUCUGCUGUGCCCGUGGCCAGAGAUGAGACACUAAGACCCGGCCCCUCUGAGGUGGAGAGGACAGCAGAGAC
rnacentral:snRNA from 1 species